GGGCAAUUGGUCUAGUGGUAUGAUUUCCCCUUAGCAACCUCGAUAAAAUCGGGAACGGCCUGGGGAAGGUCCUGGGUUCAAUUCCCAGAUUGUCCA